CGUCCGGAAAACACUCUUCGUGCCAACCAUUCGGAGUAGGCUUGCUUAAACGUUUUUUUGAGGACCACGGAGUUGAAGCAGGUUCUCCGCAAGUUAAUCAUCGGAUGCGGUAAUUUUCAAGCCACACACAGAAUGGCUAAUAUUGACGUCCGGAAAACACUCUUCGUGCCAACCAUUCGGAGUAGGCUUGCUUAAACGUUUUUUUGAGGACCACGGAGUUGAAGCAGGUUCUCCGCAAGUUAAUCAUCGGAUGCGGUAAUUUUCAAGCCACACACAGAAUGGCUAAUAUUGACGUCCGGAAAACACUCUUCGUGCCA